rnacentral:rRNA from 1 species
UUUGUGGAGAGUUUGAUCCUGGCUCAGGACGAACGCUGGCGGCAUGCCUAACACAUGCAAGUCGAACGGAGAGCGGAAGUUUCGAUGGAAGCUCUUAGUGGCGGACGGGUGAGUAACGCGUGGAUAACCUGCCUGAGAGUGGGGGAUAACAGCCCGAAAGGGCUGCUAAUACCGCAUAACGUUGUCUGGGGACAUCCCCGGACAACCAAAGGAGCAAUCCGCUCUUGGAUGGGUCCGCGUCCGAUUAGCUAGUUGGUGAGGUAAUAGCUCACCAAGGCGACGAUCGGUAGCCGGCCUGAGAGGGUGAACGGCCACACUGGGACUGAGACACGGCCCAGACUC